UGGGGCCUUCUUCCCCAGCUAGAGUUUGAUAUGCUUUCACAUGAAACCUUGUUAGUUCACAUACCAAAUCAUUAAGAAUUAAGUGCUAACUAGUGGCAAAAACGGUUACGAUUUCAAAGCCGUAAGAAGAUGGACUACCCAAAAAAAACUGGGUUAUACCCUUAUUGAGUGUGAGAAAGUUUUUGUUCCUGUACACAAGGAUAUUCAUUGGUGUUUAGCAGUUAUCGAUAUAAAAGAUAAAACUCUCCAGUAUCUUGAUUCUCUUGGUGGUGUGGAUACUUAUGUGCUAAAUGUAU